rnacentral:lncRNA from 1 species
AAGAAGGAACAGCAUUGAAGAAAUAAUGACUUUAUUAUGUUUGAGGAUUUCCCCCCUUACAUUUUCAGCAAUUUUCUGUGACUAAGUCAUGGAAAAGAACAAAACUAGGGAUACAAAAUCAGAAAAAUAAAAAUCUCAAUUUGGACCCACAUCUUUGCCAAUUAAUAUAAACACCUCAUACCUCAAUUUCUCUGUACUUAAAAUGAAGAUAAUAGUUAAUAUUAUUAAGUACAAAGUAUUCAAUAGAAGGGGAAAAUGAAAUCACAAUUGUCACCAACAGCAGCCCAGACUGACCAGCUAGGCCACGCUUUGCUGCUACAUUUGAAUGCAGUCAAUAAUUUCCAAGAAGUAACUGUGACAUAACACAUGGGUUGCAGAAUCAGCAGGGAGGAAUAUGGGAUUAGCACACAGUUCCAGAACCUCCCUGCUCCCCAGAGUGUAACCCCACAAACAGUCAGCCCAAGUAGGAAUCGGUUUCACCUCGGAGCAAAUGGCCUUGUUGCAAUCAUAGCCCCCAUCUGAGACCCUGUGAAGUCACUGCACUACCAUUCCUCUGAAUGAGACCAUUGUCAAAUCUUCAACGUAUGACCUCCAACCCUAGGUGCCAAGUGCCCGGUGACAGUUGUUUACACACCUGAGACACAUAUUCUGGAAGCUGUGAUCCUGGGCCUGGACAUACGGAAGAGUUAUGGUGACCAACCAACCUGGUGACGAAAAAGCACAAACUUCAACACCAACCAAUAGUUAGGACCCCAGAGAGAUGCUGACAUUUCUGGUAAAAAAAAAAAGUGAGAAAUCAAAUAUGAAUCUGAUGGACAAGCCAACACCCAGCUUCCCACAAGACAGACAGUAAAUCAACGAUGUUCCGGAGCUGCGUCAAUCUGAAUCCCAAUCAGGACAGAUCCGCCUUCUUCAGAACAUAGCUUUUGGUGGAAAAACACCUCAGUUUUUGUCCUAGGCUCUCCAUUCUAUGCUGGCCACAAGAGAACAAGGAAGUGGCAGGAUAUUCAUGGAGGAAACAUUUCCACGGCACUCAGAGAUCGAAGUGUUUAUAUCCCAGACUGGACGAGCUUCAGUAUGAAUUUGCAUCUUGCCUCUGUACUGCUUGCUAUUUUUUAAUGAUAG